rnacentral:rRNA from 1 species
CCUACGGGAGGCAGCAGUAAGGAAUAUUGGACAAUGGGCGCAAGCCUGAUCCAGCCAUGCCGCGUGAAGGAUUAAGGUCCUCUGGAUUGUAAACUUCUUUUAUAGGGGACGAAAAAAGGGCAUUCUUGUUCACUUGACGGUACCCUAUGAAUAAGCACCGGCUAACUCCGUGCCAGCAGCCGCGGUAAUACGGGGGGUGCAAGCGUUAUCCGGAUUCACUGGGUUUAAAGGGUGCGUAGGCGGGCAGGUAAGUCAGUGGUGAAAUCCUAGAGCUUAACUCUAGAACUGCCAUUGAUACUAUCUGUCUUGAAUAUUGUGGAGGUAAGCGGAAUAUGUCAUGUAGCGGUGAAAUGCUUAGAUAUGACAUAGAACACCUAUUGCGAAGGCAGCUUACUACGCAUAUAUUGACGCUGAGGCACGAAAGCGUGGGGAUCAAACAGGAUUAGAUACCCUGGUAGUCCCACGACCUAACCGACUAGAUACUACGACAUACGCGAUACACUGUGUGUGUGUGAGNGAAGACGAUAAGUA